rnacentral:rRNA from 1 species
GAUGAACGCUGGCGGCGUGCCUAAUACAUGCAAGUCGAGCGAACAGACGAGGAGCUUGCUCCUCUGACGUUAGCGGCGGACGGGUGAGUAACACGUGGAUAACCUACCUAUAAGACUGGGAUAACUUCGGGAAACCGGAGCUAAUACCGGAUAAUAUAUUGAACCGCAUGGUUCAAUAGUGAAAGACGGUUUUGCUGUCACUUAUAGAUGGAACCGCGCCGCAUUAGCUAGUUGGUAAGGUAACGGCUUACCAAGGCAACGAUGCGUAGCCGACCUGAGAGGGUGAUCGGCCACACUGUAACUGAGACACGGUCCAGACUCCUACGGGAGGCAGCAGUAGGGAAUCUUCCGCAAUGGGCGAAAGCUUGACGGAGCAACGCCGCGUGAGUGAUGAAGGUCUUCGGAUCGUAAAACUCUGUUAUUAGGGAAGAACAAAUGUGUAAGUAACUAUGCACGUCUUGACGGUACCUAAUCAGAAAGCCACGGCUAACUACGUG